CCCAGUCGCCUCCUUGCCCAGCCUGCUAACUGCUAGAAACCAACAAGGGCAUACCAGGGUCUGACUUGGGAAGAGUUGCCAAUCCAUCCAGGAGGGCCCAGUGAAAGCAAACAUUCCGAAGGCAAAAAAACCUGAAAGCUCAGAAGGUAAACAACUUGUCCAGAUUGCGCACAGAGUGGCUGAUUUAGUAGAGGCAAACAAUUCCAAGUUAGAAACAGACAGCUGACCAGCGGUCCAUGGAGCAUCCUGUGCUGCUUCAAGGGUCCAGAGUGGGGAAGCAGCUGGGACCCUCGGCCUCAGUGGAAUGGCAUCAGGGGCCCUACUUCCAGCCAGCAGGCUCCAGCUACGAGCACAUGAGAAGCACAGUCCUGCUGGUUGUCUGGGGCAGUCUCCUGGGAAGCCACACACUGGGAAAAGAUCCUGAAGGCAGGCACUGUCCACAAAUCACUCAAGAAUUGAACAUUUUUUCAUUUUGAAAUGAAACUGCAUUUGAGGGUACUGCCAACUAUAAAUCAAAUGUUGCCUUUUGAAAAAAGGAAAGGAAAAGAAAGUAAUCAACUAAAUGGAGACUGUUGCCUCCUAUCACAACGUCUUGCAAUUAAAGGUCCAUUUCUUCUCUAAGUUCUCCUUUUCUCCUAGGAAAAUUGAAUGUUUUUCUAGUUAUGAGACGAGAAUGCUAACCAAAAUUGUUGCCAGUUCAAAAUGUGUUAUCUUAGUGGUGUUUAAUGUCCAAGAAAAAAACAAUUAGCUCUCUUCCAUGUUUCAAAGCCCAAAAUCGUAAGAGGACAGUUUGAAGUUUUAUGCAUGGCACUGGAUAUUUUGAGGGUAGUGUAUUUUAAUUACUUUUUAAUUGAAGUAUACUUUAUAUAUAAUAAAGUGUGCAAGACUGGUAAA
rnacentral:lncRNA from 1 species